rnacentral:siRNA from 1 species
AGGGUAAUUAUUGAAGAUUUGCUU